rnacentral:rRNA from 1 species
AUUGAACGCUGGCGGCAGGCCUAACACAUGCAAGUCGAACGAGUGGCGGACGGGUGAGUAAUGUCUGGGAAACUGCCUGAUGGAGGGGGAUAACUACUGGAAACGGUAGCUAAUACCGCAUACCAUCGGAUGUGCCGAGAUGGGAUUAGCUAGUAGGUGGGGUAAAGGCUCACCAAGGCGACGAUCCCUAGCUGGUCUGAGAGGAUGACCAGCCACACUGGAACUGAGACACGGUCCAGACUCCUACGGGAGGCAGCAGUGGGGAAUAUUGGACAAUGGGGGAAAGCCUGAUCCAGCCAUGCCGCGGGUAUGAAGAAGGCCUUCGGGUUGUAAAGUACUUUUAGCGGGGAGGCGGUACCCGCAGAAGAAGCACCGGCUAACUCCGUGCCAGCAGCCGCGGUAAUAC